rnacentral:rRNA from 1 species
UACGUAGGGGGCAAGCGUUACCCGGAUUCACUGGGCGUAAAGGGGGUGUAGGCGGCUCGGUAAGUCGGGUGUGAAAUCCCACGGCUCAACCGUGGAAUUGCGCCCGAAACUGCUGAGCUUGGGGCCGGUAGAGGGAGACGGAACUGCCGGUGUAGGGGUGAAAUCCGUAGAUAUCGGCAGGAACGCCGGUGGGGAAGCCGGUCUCCUGGGCCGCGCCCGACGCUGAGGCCCGAAAGCUAGGGGAGCAAACCGG